rnacentral:snRNA from 1 species
GAAACUUCUUGGCCUUUUGGCUAAGAUCAAGCAUCCGUUCUUGUCUGUAUAAUAUCUGACAUGGAUGCUACCCGGGGACCGUAUAUUAAAUUGAUUUUGGAACAGGGAGAUGGAACAGGGGCUUGUUCUGUCCAUGCCACACACCCUCCAUGAAUGGUGCACCUCCU